rnacentral:lncRNA from 1 species
UGAGUAGUUUGUAUAGAUGAUGGCCUGAGGGAUUGAAACCCCGGCUUAUCACAUCGUGACUCUAUGUUAGGGCGUGACUCGCACCCCAUGGUAGGUGCGGGGUUGUAAAUGAUUGGGAUAUGUGACAUGGUCCAUCCCAUGAGCAGAAUAAAUUAUCGGCAUCUGAUACGCACAUUUUGUUGUUGAUAAUUGGGCUUAAUGCCAUGUUUGGGGCCUCGUGCUGAUCUAUAGUACCCAUCUAGGGUGAAUAUCUGUGUGAUAACAUGAUUUCAUAAUUAUUGAUCUCAG